rnacentral:rRNA from 1 species
ACCUGGUUGAUCCUGCCAGUAGUCAUACGCUUGUCUCAAAGAUUAAGCCAUGCAUGUCUAAGUAUAAGCGUUAUACUGUGAAACUGCGAAUGGCUCAUUAAAUCAGCAAUAGUUUCUUUGGUGGUGUUUACUACAUGGAUAACCGUAGUAAUUCUAGAGCUAAUACAUGCGUAAAGUCCCGACUCGGGAGGGGAGGGAUGUAUUUAUUAGAUAACAAAACCAACGCGUGCCUUCCGGUGCGGUCUGAUGGUGAAUCAUAAUAACUGUUCGAAUCGCAUGCCCUCGUGGCGGCGAUAGGUCAUUCAAAUUUCUGCCCUA